UACGGGGGGGGCAAGCGUUGUUCGGAAUUACUGGGCGUAAAGGGCUCGUAGGUGGCCAACUAAGUCAGACGUGAAAUCCCUCGGCUUAACCGGGGAACUGCGUCUGAUACUGGAUGGCUUGAGUUUGGGAGAGGGACGCGGAAUUCCAGGUGUAGCGGUGAAAUGCGUAGAUAUCUGGAGGAACACCGGUGGCGAAGGCGGCGUCCUGGACUGCAUCUGACACUGAAAGACGAAAGCCAGGGGAGCAAACGGG
rnacentral:rRNA from 1 species